AUUGAACGUUGGCGGCAGGCCUAACACAUGCAAGCCGAGCGAGCGGCGGACGGGUGAGUAAUGUAUGGGGACUGCCCGAUAGAGGGGGAUAACUACCGGCAACGGUAGCUAAUACCGCAUACUAUCGGAUAACCCAUAUGGGAUUAGCUAGUAGGUGAGGUAAUGGCUCACCUAGGCGACGAUCCCUAGCUGGUCUGAGAGGACGAUCAGCGACACUGGGACAGAGACACGGACCAGACUCCAAGGGAGGCAGCAGUGGGGAAUAUUGCACGAGGGGCGCAAGCCUGAUGCAGCCAUGCCGCGUGUAUGAAGAAGGCCCUAGGGUUGUAAAGUACUUUCAGUCGGGAGGCGUUACCGACAGAAUAAGCACCGGCUAACUACGUGCCAGCAGCCGCGGUAAUAC
rnacentral:rRNA from 1 species